rnacentral:rRNA from 1 species
GAUGAACGCUGGCGGCGUGCCUAAUACAUGCAAGUCGAGCGAACAGACGAGGAGCUUGCUCCUCUGACGUUAGCGGCGGACGGGUGAGUAACACGUGGAUAACCUACCUAUAAGACUGGGAUAACUUCGGGAAACCGGAGCUAAUACCGGAUAAUAUAUUGAACCGCAUGGUUCAAUAGUGAAAGACGGUUUUGCUGUCACUUAUAGAUGGAUCCGCGCCGCAUUAGCUAGUUGGUAAGGUAACGGCUUACCAAGGCGACGAGGCGUAGCCGACCUGAGAGGGUGAUCGGCCACACUGGAACUGAGACACGGUCCAGACUCCUACGGGAGGCAGCAGUAGGGAAUCUUCCGCAAUGGGCGAAAGCCUGACGGAGCAACGCCGCGUGAGUGAUGAAGGUCUUCGGAUCGUAAAACUCUGUUAUUAGGGAAGAACAAAUGUGUAAAUAACUAUGCACGUCUUGACGGUACCUAAUCAGAAAGCCACGGCUAACUACGUG